UUUAAAAGGUGGAUUUUCCUUCUAUGUUUACGUGAUUGCUGGUUAAUCAUAGAGGAAAAUCCAUGUUUUCAG
rfam:Oryctolagus cuniculus unplaced genomic scaffold chrTn0352, whole genome shotgun sequence.